CUUCCAACUAUAAAUUGGAAGCUAGACCUCACUUGCAUUCUCAAGAAUAGGGUUGUAAGUUGGAUUUAAAAUUCUCGAAUCCAACCACUUUCAAUCCUAAAAUCCUCCGAGAUGGCAAAAUCUGUUGGCUCCAGCACCAUAGUUGUUCUGCUAAUAGCUCUCCUUCUCGUUGGUUCCAUGGAAUUGCCAGUGGUUGAAGGAGGAACUAGAGGAUGCAAGCAGGCGAGCAAGUCGAUGACCACCUGCACAGCCCACCCAGAGUGUGACAAACAAUGCAAAGGAGAGAAAGCAAAGAUGGGACUUUGCCGUGCUGAUGGUCCCAAAGGCAAAAAGUGCUGGUGCUACAUGUGUUAACAUGAAUGGGGAUUUUGUAUAACUUUCUCAACAAUAAAAUAGUUCUAAAUUUUUUUAGAGAAAUUAAAACAUCUCUCUCUCUCUCUC